GAUGAACGCUGGCGGCGUGCCUAAUACAUGCAAGUCGAGCGAACAGACGAGGAGCUUGCUCCUCUGACUUUAGCGGCGGACGGGUGAGUAACACGUGGAUAACCUACCUAUAAGACUGGGAUAACUUCGGGAAACCGGAGCUAAUACCGGAUAAUAUAUUGAACCGCAUGGUUCAAUAGUGAAAGACGGUUUUGCUGUCACUUAUAGAUGGAUCCGCGCCGCAUUAGCUAGUUGGUAAGGUAACGGCUUACCAAGGCGACGAUGCGUAGCCGACCUGAGAGGGUGAUCGGCCACACUGGAACUGAGACACGGUCCAGACUCCUACGGGAGGCAGCAGUAGGGAAUCUUCCGCAAAGGGCGAAAGCCUGACGGAGCAACGCCGCGUGAGUGAUGAAGGUCUUCGGAUCGUAAAACUCUGUUAUUAGGGAAGAACAAAUGUGUAAGUAACUAUGCACGUCUUGACGGUACCUAAUCAGAAAGCCACGGCUAACUACGUG
rnacentral:rRNA from 1 species